GCUCUGCGGGUGUCAGUUCGUCCGGCUUCCUCACAGCCCCUCACUCCCGGCGGCUGACAGCAGCAGCGGCGGCGGCGGGCGGCGCCUGGCGUUUCGAGGCUGAGCGGCACCGGGGUUGGGGCGCGGAGGAGGAGCAGCAGCGGGAGGAGGAGCCGUGUGCCCUGGCACUGAGCGGCCGCGGCCAUGGCGUACGCCUAUCUCUUCAAGUACAUCAUAAUCGGCGACACAGGUGUUGGUAAAUCAUGCUUAUUGCUACAGUUUACAGACAAGAGGUUUCAGCCAGUGCAUGACCUUACUAUUGGUAAAGUUCGGUGCUCGAAUGAUAACUAUUGAUGGGAAACAGAUAAAACUUCAGAUAUGGGAUACGGCAGGGCAAGAAUCCUUUCGUUCCAUCACAAGGUCGUAUUACAGAGGUGCAGCAGGAGCUUUACUAGUUUACGAUAUUACACGGAGAGAUACAUUCAACCACUUGACAACCUGGUUAGAAGAUGCCCGCCAGCAUUCCAAUUCCAACAUGGUCAUUAUGCUUAUUGGAAAUAAAAGUGAUUUAGAAUCUAG
rnacentral:lncRNA from 10 species